UUAAACCCUACCCGAUUGCUAUGGCCAUCCAAGGUAAGAGUGUCCCGAAGGGGCACCGCCAUAGCGUCCCGAAAGGGAUAGGGUAGGGUAGGAGGA
rnacentral:ncRNA from 1 species